rnacentral:rRNA from 1 species
AGGAUGAACGCUAGCGGCAGGCUUAAUACAUGCAAGUCGAGGGGCAGCAUGACUGUAGCAAUACAGUUGAUGGCGACCGGCAAACGGGUGCGGAACACGUACAGAACCUUCCUUCGAGCGGGGAAUAGCCCAGAGAAAUUUGGAUUAAUACCCCAUAGUACCAUUAGAGUGGCAUCACUUUGAUGUUAAAGAUUUAUCACUUGAAGAUGGCUGUGCGGCUGAUUAGGUAGUUGGCGGGGUAACGGCCCACCAAGCCUGCGAUCAGUAACUGGUGUGAGAGCACGACCAGUCACACGGGCACUGAGACACGGGCCCGACUCCUACGGGAGGCAGCAGUAAGGAAUAUUGGUCAAUGGACGAAAGUCUGAACCAGCCAUGCCGCGUGGAGGAUGAAGGUCCUCUGGAUUGUAAACUUCUUUUAUAUGGGACGAAAAAAGGGUUUUCUAACUCGUCUGACGGUACCAUAUGAAUAAGCACCGGCUAACUCCGUG